AGUAAUUAAUAACGCGUGCAGUUGACCCCUGGGGAGCGCCCCCAAUUUUGAACUCAAAGGAAUUGAGGAGGCCCACACCAGCCCGGGUGAUGUGGUUUAAUUUUUUCAACGCAAAAAACCUUACUACCCUGACAUUUUGGAAUCCUGAAGAGAUUUGGGAGUGCUGAAAGAGAGCCAGAACACAGGUGCUCAUGGCCGUCGUCAGCUUGUGUGAGAUGUUGGGUUAAGUCGCAACGAGCGCAACCCUUGUCUUAGUUGCUACGAAAGGGCACUUAAUGAGACUCCGGUGACAAACCGGAGGAAGGUGGGGAUGACGUCAGGUCCUCAUGGCCCUUAUGGGUAGGGCUACCACGUCAUACAAUGGCCGGUACAGAGGGCUGCCAACCCCGAGGGGAGCUAAUCCCAGAAAUUCCAUAAUAGUCCGGAUCGCAGUUUAACUAUUCGAGUGGACCGUCAAUGAGUGAGC
rnacentral:rRNA from 1 species